GCUGUUUGAAGUCCCGCGGCAAAGCGGCGACAACACCGGCGCAGCCCGGCGCCCCGACCCCGGCCGCCGAGCUCCCUCCCUGCAGCACCCCGGCACCCCAGCGCCCGGCCCAACCCGGCCCGCCACAUCCGCGCCCGCGCGGCCCAGCCCGAGCCCCGGAACGAUUCCGAGCCCCACGCCGGCGCCCGGUGGCGGGAGGGGGCGCCGAGCCCGCGGCUUACCUGCGUGCUGGAUCCCCGGGCUGCUCGGAGGGGUGCGGGGCGCAGGCGAGUGCGGCCCGCAGACUCUAACUUUGUUGCUCUCGGGACGGCGCAGUCGUCACUUCCUCGCGGAGCGGGCGGUGCGGCCCGGGCUGUGCGGCCCGGGCUGUGACCCAGCGGCUCGCGCGGUGGCGCGCAGGGCCCUGCAGCCAGCCGCCCCGCCCGCGCCCCCGGCUCCGCGCGCCCCUGGCCCCAGGCGCCGUCUCCCCACUCUGCGCGCCCUCGGCUGCGGGGUAGCGGGCAGCCCUGCGCUGCCGGCCGCCUAGCCUGCACCCCCCGCCCUGGGAGGGAAGCCUCGCUCCAGCCGCGUCGUUUCCGCGCCGAAGUGCGAUCCGGGGCCCCGCGCUGGAGUCCCCUGCUCUCAGGUGGCAGUUGCUGGAGUACCAGGGCACCAAGUGGAGGAUGUGGUAGACAGCCUCUAAGAUGCGCCCCCUGCCAAUGAUCUCUGCCUCCAGGGAGGAGCUAGAAGGCAGAGAGAAAGCCACUCAGGACUUCCCAUCCCAGAAGAUAAAGGUGAGGAAAGCAGCAGCAGCAGCCACAGGCCAGUAUUCCAGAGCAGCUUUGGGUUCCUGUCAAGACCUGCUUUGAGAAGGAGGUGGCUGUGGGGCUGGAGGGCUGGGCCUGUUCCUGAGCUGGCUGCUGGCAGCACAGCAAUGAGGCAACAUUGAGAACUGCGACACGAGGCCCAGUCCUGCUACUAAACCAACUGUGUGGACUUGCAUAGUCACUUCACCCCUCGGGCCUCCAUUUCUCCACUUUGGAAAGCAGUGUUGGGACGAUGUUAAGGGUUUGCAACCUUCCAACAUGAAGACUUAUUUUUAAAAGCAAAACAUUUCAAAGAGUCCACAUGACAGUAGUGUUCAUUUUGGCAUCUGUUGAUUUAACAAAUACAAAAUUAGGCUGGGUGUAGUUGCUAACGCCUGUAAUUCCAGCACUUUGGGAGACCGAGGCAGGAGGAUCACCUGAAAUCAGGAGUUCGAGACCAGCCUGGCCAACAUGGUGGAACUCCAUCACUACCAAAAAUACAAAAAUUAGCUGGGCUUGGUGGCACGUGCCUGUAAUCCCAGCUACUCGGGAGGCUGAGGCAGGAGAAUCAUUUGAACCCGGGAGGCAGAGGUUGCAGUGACCUGAGAUUGCACCACUGUACUCCAGCCUGGGCAACAGGGCAAGACUCCAUUAAAAAAAAAAAUACAAAAUUAGGCAUGGUGGUGUUCGUCUGUAGUCCCAUCUAUUUGAGAGGUUAAGGCGGGAGGAUCACUUGAGCUCAGGAGUUUGAGUUUGCAGUGAGCUGUGGUCUGCCUGUGAAUAGCUGCUGCAGUACAGCUUGGGCAACAUAGUGAGAUUCCAUCUCUAGUCUUUAAAAAAAGGAAAAAUACGGCCGGGCGCGGUGGCUCACACUUGUAAUCCUAGCACUUUGGGAGGUCGAGGAGAGAGGAUCACCUGAGGUCAGGAGUUCGAGACCAGCUUGGCCAACAUGGCGAAACCCAUCUCUACUAAAAAUACAAAAAUUAGCUGGGUGUGGUGGCGCACGCCUGUAAUCCUAGCUACUCAGGAGGCUGAGGCAGGAGAAUUGCUUGAACCAGGAGGGAGAGGUUGCAGUGAGCCAAGAUCGUACCACUGCGCUCCAGCUUGGGCAACAUAGAGAGAUCCCAUCUCUAUUUUUUUAAAAAGGAAAAAUACAAGGGAUACCAGAGCACUGGGCCAGUGCUUGUUAUAAAGUCCAUCAAUGGGCCAGGCACGGAGGCUCACACCUGUAAUCCCAACACUUUGGGAAGCCGAAGUGGG
rnacentral:lncRNA from 1 species